UACAGAGGUCUCAAGCGUUGUUCGGAUUCAUUGGGCGUAAAGGGUGCGUAGGUGGCGCUGUAAGUCGGGUGUGAAAUUUCGAGGCUUAACCUCGAAACUGCAUUCGAUACUGCGGUGCUUGAGGACUGGAGAGGAGACUGGAAUUCAUGGUGUAGCAGUGAAAUGCGUAGAGAUCAUGAGGAAGACCAGUGGCGAAGGCGGCAUCCUGGACCGGCAUUGACGCUGAGGCGCGAAAGCCAGGGGAGCAAACGGG
rnacentral:rRNA from 1 species